AGCAAACAAACAAUAGCAGACCCGCUAACACUGCAGCAGAUGCCCCAGACGGGAGGAGAAGUGGAUACAAAUCGCUCGGUGGUCUGCUUUGGACUUCUCAUGAUGAUAUUCAUAACCUGGAAUACUUUUAUAAGGAACCCUAAAGGUCCAUCAUCUUCACCGCUACCUGCCUGCCACUGUGCUUCUCUGUUGCAAUACACACCACCCCUGUCGAACCCUCCCCUAUCUUCACAAAGUUCUCCAGAAGUGGGAGGAGCCAUCCAAGGCUCCAUUUUAGGCUCUGAUGGACCAGCACUUUGAGUCUUGCUUUCAUCAAAGAUCACCAGCUGACUGUUGGAAGCAUUACCGAGAACAGGGGCACCACGUGACUGUCCAGUUCUGUUGACAGGAGCAAUGGCUUUUUUCUUCCCUCUAUGUUUGAGGUCAACCAAAGAAACUCUCUCAGAUUGUUUGGGCUCAUCAUCACUAUCCUCCCCCUCCUGCACAUUCAUCAUCACCUGUCGG